rnacentral:rRNA from 1 species
UACGUAGGGGGCGAGCGUUGUCCGGAAUCAUUGGGCGUAAAGAGCGCGUAGGUGGCCCGGUAAGUCUGAUGUGAAAUCUCGAGGCUCAACCUCGAAAUGUCAUUGGAUACUGUCGAGCUAGAGUCCGGAAGAGGAGAGUGGAAUUCCUGGUGUAGCGGUGGAAUGCGCAGAUAUCAGGAGGAACACCAAUGGCGAAGGCAGCUCUCUGGUACGGUACUGACACUGAGACGCGAAAGCGUGGGGAGCGAACAGG